rnacentral:ribozyme from 1 species
GUAUCGCGCUAGGUCCAGUCCCGUGUAAGCCGGGACCAGUGGGAGAGAAUGAGUUCUCCCACUGCGACGCUCUAAGGAUACUA